AUGCCCAUUGCAACUGGCAAUUCGUUCAGCAGAGGAAGGAUGAGAACCGGUCAGGAGUCAACACACAUCACCACAACUAACCCAAACGGGUGGAACAAGGACGAAUUUUCCGAAAGGAUACAUGACAUUACUUGUCAGCUGCAAGAUGGACGAGAGGCUAUCACAAGGCUUCUCAACAUACUUGGGUCCGGUGGUGCAAUUUCAAAUGCCUGUCAGAGUACAAUCUCAGAUCCAUGCAGAAGAACAGCCAGUCUUGUUCAAGGGAAAGUGUAUGGGAGAGACGAAGAGAAGAGAUCCAUCAAAUCACUGAUAAAAGAACACAAAGCAACUGUCGGUUUAACUGUUCUGCCUAUUGUAGGCAUCGGAGGAGUUGGGAAGACAGCUCUUGCUCAGCUUGUAUACAAUGAUCCAGCUGUGGAAAGCCAAUUUGAUCACAAGAUAUGGAUUUGGGUGUCUAAUAAAUUUGAUGAAAUGAGACUCACAAGAGAGAUGUUAGAUCACGUCUCCCAAGAAACACAUGAUGGCAUAUGCAGCUUUUCCAAGCUUCGGGAGGUCUUGAAGGAUCAUAUUAAAUCAAAGAGGGUUCUACUUAUUUUAGAUGAUCUCUGGGAAGGCAUGGAUGAUGGCCGAUGGAACAAAUUGUUAGCUCCGUUCAGUUCUGAUGGUGCAACUGGCAAUAUGAUAGUUCUGACAACAAGAAAACCGUUUGUUGCCAAAAAGAGAGGUACAACUGGACCAAUUAACUUGGAUGGUUUGAAAAAUGGUGAUUUUUGGCCAAUGUUCAAAACAUGUGCAUUUGGUGAUGAGAAUUACAAAGAGAAAGAAAGUCUAAGUGAUUUAGGACAGAAAAUAGCAGGAUGGUUGAAAGGAAACCCAUUAGCAGCACAAACUGUUGGGGUACUACUAAAAGAUCAUCUUACUGUGGAUCAUUGGAGUAACAUUCUAAACACUGAAGAUUAG
rnacentral:rRNA from 1 species